CCUAGUCAAAGCUGUUGUGUUCCUCAGGCCCAGGAACCUGCCCCAGCUGCAGCACGUUGGAGCAGGCUGAGCACGGAGAGAUGGGGCAGAGCUGCAAGGAGACCUCACUGCAAACAGAGUACCCCAGGUUUGAUUUUGCAUGGAGUCUUGAGCAGGACAGAGCUGAAGCUGUUUGCUCUGUGCUUGGUGGUGCCCAGUCUGCAGGAGCAGGUUUAGUGCUACGCAUUCCGGAGGGUGGACCAGGGUCUGUAGGACAGCUUUGCUUCUGAGCCUGCUCGGCCAGGGGGGCUGUCCUGACCCUUAGCCAGGCUGCACGCUGCUCUGCACACGCUGAACUCAUGAGGCAGAGCUGCUCUGAGCAGAGCUGAUACCAGCAGUGUAACAGCUUUCUGCGGCGCUAACACGGGGAAGCAAAGCCAGGUUUCCUCCUCUGCCAGCCACUAGAUGCUAAUAAAGGAUUUCUUCUUUCCCCUUCUGUGAGAACAAGCCGAAGCCAGGAGUUUUCUUCACCCUGUCUUCCAAAGCAGUUUUAAUUCCUUGCUUUCAAGUGUGCUGAAGAUACAUUUUAUCUGCUCACACGUUUAUUUACAAAACUAAUGUAGCACGCCAGGAGUACAGCCUCCACAGCACGGAAAGCUGCAGAACUUGCUGGUACCUUGAGCAGAUCCUGAGCCCCUUGUAAGCAAAAUUCCCCCUUCCAAACAGAGGCUGCUCGUUGGACAGCCGGGUGCACGCCAUUCUCAGAGAAGCGCUGAGCACUGCUGGUUGAUUGCAGCCAGUGCCUGACCCUGAGCACUGGGCCGUGCUGCCAGGCCCCUCCUGGCUGCAGUCAGAGGGUGGGUGCUGUGUCCUGGAGCUCUGGGGUGUGCAGGCAGCAGCCCGGCUCCAGUGUGUUCUUCUGUCUGUGCUGCAGCAACCUUCUAAAGCUCUGAGCUUGAGCGUGGACUACUCCCAUUGAAACAGAUGGCACCGUUGGAGAGAGGACUGUGCGUGAAAACACUUCCAGGAUGGGGGGAUAAUGGCCCUACUUUUUUGCAAAGCUGCGGAGGUCCUGGUGUAUUGCAGGGGGCUGCAGGAGCAGAUAGAUGUGCUCGGAGCAGCGAAUGAGUAGGGAGGUACGUGAGCAUCAAGGUAAAACCUUUGGGUGACUCGCAAAGUUCUCACGCUGAUGGAAUCUUUGUCACACCGCAGUGACCACAGGGCUGGGAGCUCCCCCGUGUGCUGCCCACUGCUGGGCAUCUCUGCCUUCCAGUUUUGUCCCAGUCACAGAAAGGUCAAUAAAAUGCUCGUUUCUUUUAAGAGCUGAGGGCUGGCGGGGCUGACAAACCCUGCGUCUUUCAGUGCUGCAGCAUAAUAAGGCUUCACCGGCUUCAAAGUGCUCUCACAAGUCUGGAUUUGUGGCUCUAGAAGUAAAAUGGGCACGAGUUAAUUACUUGCUAACGGCAGCUUAAUCUUUUCCCUCUUCGUUUCCUGACUUUUCUAAAUUGCUUUUUGGACAUGCCGUGGCUGUCCUGUGUCGGUCCAACUCCAUCCGUCUUUCAGAUGUCAAUGGAGUAGAUUCAGGGAUGUAUUUUAAAAAUUGGUCUUCUACAUCUGUCACGUGAGCAGACUCCAAGUCUGCUACAAUGAGACGGAAUGGUUCGAAUACAAAAUUCUGAAGAGUGAAGAAAGGGAUGGUGUUCGUUCAGUAAAAAUGCAAAGCUCUGCCCUGUGUCAGAGUCACAGCUUGGGUAGCAAUUGCCCUGACCACGGCUGCCUCAUUUAAAUCAUUAAAUGAAUACAUUAUUGACACAUUAUUUUUAUUCAAAAUGACAGCAUAAAGCAGUAUUUAUUUUACAGUGUCUAGCCAUGUCGUCGAAAGGGAAGGUGACAGGAGAUCUCAUUACAGGCUGUGCUGAACCCAAGCCCUGGAAGGGGCACGGCUGCUGCACCUCUUGGCUCCAGCACUUAUCGAACCGUCCGGAGCCAGCGUGGCUGCUGUGUAAGAACAAACCCAGCACAACCAGAUGGUCAGUGCUGCUUAAAGUACUUCUAAUUUUCCCGCUGGCUUUUCGGAGCCUAAAUGCCGCUGAACGUACUGAGCAUUGCAGAGAUGGAGAAAACUUGCGAUGAAAGUAACUUGUGGAGAAAUGCUAAUAACGAUCAUUGAUUCAUAAAAGAGGUCCGGAGCUGAAAUCUCAGCUAUAGGCAAUGAUAAAUAAGAGGAAAAAGUAGUCAGGAGUGCUGAAACGGCUGUGGAGGGAGCUGUUAUCCACGGAUAAUGAUGUGAGAUUAAAUGGAAGAGCUUCUUGCUAUGGCUCUUUAGACUGGAUUUCUGCCAAAGUGGUGGAUCAAUUUCCAGGCUGACGUGGAAGCUCAGUGCCCUUGCCUUUACACCAGAUAACAGGAUUGAUUCAAGAAAAAUUCAGAAUACUUGAGUUGAAAUGCUUUGUUUAUGGCUUAAAAAUAUCUGUACAGAGCAAAGCAACAAGAGUUAACAGAAGAGAGUUAUGUAAAGAGUGUCUCCUUAAAGGCUUAACUUAAUGUACUUCAGAGCAAACUCCGAGCAGGAGAAAGUAGAUGGAAAACAAAUCUAAUUUUAAAAUAACAAAGAUAAACCAAUAAAGCUGAUCCUAUCAAGCCUCAUUUCAAUUGUGGCAUAAAAUGCAGAGCUUCUUAGCAGAUGUAGCUCUGAGCACAUGGAAAAAAACAACACAUUGAUUAAAUACACAAUCAGCACUGGAUCAGAUAGAAGUGGAAGUUCCAGUAACCUUCAAGAAAUCAUACUUGGGGCACUACGCAGUGCUUUGCUGAAAGAAACAAGAGGGCAGAACUCGAGUUCACCUCUGGAGCGCAGCCGGUCUGGACACUGGGAAGCACUGGUUUUUAUGUGUAGGUGAUGGAGCGCUGGCAUGGAGGGGCUGUGGGAUCUCCUCCUUGGGGAUCUCCAUGCCCACCUGUGUGUGGGGCUGGGCACAGCUCUUAAUGGAUGCUGGGUUGGAGUGGGGGGCGGAGGGACCCAGAGGGCUCUGCCAGCCUCAGCUGUCCCACCACUGUCCCACCAGCUGCAGUGGCAGGCAAGGAGCAUCUCCUUUGCCUAUAUCUGGUGCUUCCCUGCAGGUUCAGGAGAAGCAGUACGUCCUAUUAAGGUGGAAACUGCGUGAAACAAGAAGUCUCACACGGAGCUUCGUUCAGCUUCCAGCUAUGAA